rnacentral:rRNA from 1 species
CCUACGGGAGGCAGCAGCGGGGAAUCUUAGACAAUGGGGGCAACCCUGAUCUAGCCAUGCCGCGUGAGUGAUGAAGGCCUUAGGGUUGUAAAGCUCUUUCAGCUGGGAAGAUAAUGACGGUACCAGCAGAAGAAGCCCCGGCUAACUCCGUGCCAGCAGCCGCGGUAAU